UAUUAAGAUUUUAUAGAACAUAUUCUAUUCAGUAAAUAUUGAAUGUACCUGAUUGUGUUCUGUAUAGAUCUACUUAUUGUCAGCGACCGACAGAUGGAGCAAACUGGGUUGUAGUGGGUGUUGAGUUGAGCUGCAGGCCGCGCCCCUCCCUGCCUGAGUGCAUCAGGUGUGGGUGUGUCUCCCAGCCUGAAGGCAGCAGACUGAGUGCACCAGGUGGAGAUGAUUUGGUGAUCGGGGGAGUUUGGAGGCACUCACUCACAGGAUGGUGAGAGGAAGCAGUGUGUGGAAGAAAUGGUUGGAGAGACUGGACUUGGGUUUUUCACCUGUUAUUGGCCUCGGAAACUUUCAAAAUAAAAGAAAGAAAAGAAAGAAAGCUGAAUCUUGGUCAUUGAGUGAAUUCCAGUCCAAUCUUCUGAAGCAAGCUGCCUUUUCAAGUGGGGGGAGCUGCAGGUGAAACCUCACAAGAGUGAGGGCCACCUGACAGUGGGAGCACUGGGCUGUCAGUGGGUGUGACUGUGUGGCAAAUGGUUUACAUGGCUUAUGGCUCAGGUAGGAGGGCCCCUUAGCAGAGGUUUGCUGAAGGCCCCAGGGAGGUCAGGACUGGCUCUGGGUACCAGGUUGCUGAAGGGGGGAGGGGGCAUGGAUGAUCUGAAGAGGAGGCGGGUGGCGAGCAUCAGCUCAGUUGCUUUUGUUCUGUGACAAACUGGGAUGUUUACUGAUGUUGUUUAAAAUGAACAGAAGACACAUUUGAAGUGAAUAUUCUAGUGAACUGGAUCACUAGUUAAAGUCACAACCUGAUAUAGUUUAUUGUGUAUUAUUUUCUCAUAUUGUAGAGGGGAAGUCUGGUUCCUAUGGAGGGGGUGUGACGGCAGGGCCUGCUCUGUGUGUGUGUGUGUGUGUGUGUGUGUGUGUGUGUGUGUGUGUAUGUGUGUGUGUGAGUUCAUCGGCGCACUGGGACCACCUGGCCAGUCUCCCAAGGGCUCUGAAGAUCUGGACCCCUCGUUCCUCCAGCCAUGUUCCUGUUUGGUUGGCUUCGGCCGUGUCAUUAGUUCAGUUUCUGCACCUCACAACGCCCUCAUUUAUGUGCUGACACACUGAUACCACUGACCAACACACCUCAUCAUUCCACUGUGGGAUUGCACUUGCAUUAUAUUUUAGUAAUAAACUCGUUCAUCUUUGACUUCAAA